rnacentral:lncRNA from 1 species
GUAAAACAAAGCAAAGGAAAGGGUUCAUCUUUUUUCUUUUUCAAACAGUUUGUUUCAUAAGUAGGGAAAUUGAUGGAAAAGGUUUGGAUUUUGAUCGAAGGAAUUGGAUGAGAUGAGAUGGGAUGCAGUUCCUGUGAAAAGAGAAAAAGAAGGAAAAAUUGAAGUUAAAAGCUUUAUGGUUGUGUGUUUUUUUGACUUUGGGGGUGUUUGAUUGAUGGGACAAUAAUAUGG